UACAGAGGUCUCAAGCGUUGUUCGGAUUCAUUGGGCGUAAAGGGUGCGUAGGUGGCGUGGUAAGUCGGGUGUGAAAUUUCGGAGCUUAACUCCGAAACUGCAUUCGAUACUGCCGUGCUUGAGGACUGGAGAGGAGACUGGAAUUUACGGUGUAGCAGUGAAAUGCGUAGAUAUCUGGAGGAAUACCGGUGGCGAAGGCGGCAUCCUGGACCGGCAUUGACGCUGAGUGAGCGAAAGCCAGGGGAGCAAACGGG
rnacentral:rRNA from 1 species